rnacentral:lncRNA from 1 species
AAGUUAAGACAAGGUGCUGUGCCAUGCUAGGAUAUGUACCACAAUGGAAGUGUUUCUUCUUUCAGUCUGAGGAAUUCAAGGAAUGGUCCUUCAGUUGUGUACAGAGGAUGACAGGGGCUUCACUGAUACAUUCUUCAGUGAACCAAGAGAUUUUCAUACUACCUCAGGUGAACAAACCUUCAAAAAUCUACAUAUAUAAUAUUAUUUUCUGUGUCCCCUUAUUAAGAAGGCUAAGUGCUAAGUGACUUGUGAAAG